GCAGAUUCUAUCCUCGAUGUUUUGUGGUGUCACGUACUUUAAAGAUAAGGACGAAAGUAAAAAAGGACUUGAAGGACACAAAAUUCUUCAUAUUUAGACUUUUUAGAACUCGGUCUAUUUUUCACAUUUUCUGAAUGGAAAUUUAACUUGAAAGUAGGGAUCUCCGAGGGCUAUUUAGUUUAAAAGAAAAUCAUCAUGAAGCUGAAAAUUCGUUAUUAAGAGUGCGUGAUACAGUUGUUAGCUGCGUUUCUAAAGAACCACUUCACGGAUUACACCUCAACUUCCUAUAGGGGGGUAACUUUGCUGAACUGCAUGCACUUACCAAUAGUGUGCAGAUAGACACUUUAAGGUUACAUGGAAAGGGUUAAAGAUCAUUCCACAACGUCAUUAUCGUAUCUUCAGUAAAUUAUUGGCACAUGCGCAGAUUUCAGGUAUAAGUUGCAGGAGGAAAGAAAAGGAAGAAGAAUGAAGAUUCAGCAGCAUCCUUGAGAGUAAAACUUUUCGUACAAGAAAAACUAAGGCACACACACACAUAUAUAGAGAGGAAGAAAAUAGGAAAAAUCUAUUGAACCGAAUCGUAGCCCGCGAUGUUUACGAGCUUUUAUAGUAGUGGCGAACGAUGAAUGAUUUGCAUAAAAAGAACCACUUCUAAAAUAUAUAGUCUUUUACUCUUAGCGAGAGGGACAUAAAUGUACAUAUAUUCCAUCAGAUAAAUCCUUUCAUCUUACUAAAAAUAUUUACGAGAUACUCUCAUACAUAAAUUUCACUAUUUAUUGUUUUUUUUUUGAAAAAAAAUUUUUGUUUGUAAUUAAAUACAUUAAAUUUUUGUAAAUAUUUUCUAAUUGCAAAAUUAAUAUAUAAUGAUUUUCUACACUCGUCGAGAAAUUGUAUUUUUCAAAUAGAAAUUGAUUGAUAUUAAAUUUGUUAAAAAGGAGA